rnacentral:sRNA from 1 species
CCAUCACACCUGGUCCCGUCCGCCCACCCCUGUCACUGGGGCCCCGUCCGCCUGGUGAGCCCCGCUCCACCUCUUCCAGUGUGCUAGGCAGGCGCUGCCGAGACCUCCUCCUGCAGCUCUACCUACAGCGGCCGGAGCUGCGGGUGCCCGUGCCUGAGGUCCUACUGCACAGCGAAGGGGCUGCUAGCAGCAGCGUCUGCAAGCUGGACGGACUCAUCCACCGCUUCAUCACGCUCCUUGCGGACACCAGCGACUCCCGGGCGUUGGAGAACCGAGGGGCGGAUGCCAGCAUGGCCUGCCGGAAGCUGGCGGUGGCGCACCCGCUGCUGCUGCUCAGGCACCUGCCCAUGAUCGCGGCGCUCCUGCACGGCCGCACCCACCUCAACUUCCAGGAGUUCCGGCAGCAGAACCACCUGAGCUGCUUCCUGCACGUGCUGGGCCUGCUGGAGCUGCUGCAGCCGCACGUGUUCCGCAGCGAGCACCAGGGGGCGCUGUGGG